rnacentral:rRNA from 1 species
GACGAACGCUGGCGGCGUGCUUAACACAUGCAAGUCGAACGGAAAGGCCCUGCUUUUGUGGGGUGCUCGAGUGGCGAACGGGUGAGUAACACGUGAGUAACCUGCCCUUGACUUUGGGAUAACUUCAGGAAACUGGGGCUAAUACCGGAUAGGAGCUCCUGCUGCAUGGUGGGGGUUGGAAAGUUUCGGCGGUUGGGGAUGGACUCGCGGCUUAUCAGCUUGUUGGUGGGGUAGUGGCUUACCAAGGCUUUGACGGGUAGCCGGCCUGAGAGGGUGACCGGCCACAAUGGGACUGAGAUACGGCCCAGACUCCUACGGGAGGCAGCAGUGGGGAAUAUUGCACAACGGGCGGAAGGCUUAUGCAGCAACGCCGCGUGCGGGAUUACGGGCUUCGGGGUUGAAACCGCUUUCGCCUGUGACGAAGCGUGAGUGACGGUAAUGGGUAAAGAAGCACCGGCUAACUACGUG